rnacentral:tRNA from 1 species
AGGUAGAAUGGCCGAGUAGGUGGCAGGCUGUAGCCCUGCUUACACAGGUUUAAAUCUGUUUCUCCC